UAGAUUUCUCAAACACACUGAAAACGCCCCUCUCUCAAACUUCUCUCUUGUUCACAGCACAUCUCUCAAACCAAAACCACUUAACUGAAAAAUCCAGCGUCAAAUCCAACAGCAAUCUCUUCUACUCGUUCACUAUACUGCUGGCGAAGACGGAGGUACAAUCCAACGACUUCGUCUUCAUUCUCUCAAGUCUGAUUGUCUCAAUACACUGAAAACCCAGACCUCCUCAAAAUCUUCAAUCCAGUCUCGGCGACGGUCGUAUUCUAAAUUUCUUUUUCAGAAUCAGGACAGAUCAAAUCAACAAAACAACAUUUUGAAUCGACUGGUUUAAGCUGCUUCAUGAGGAAUGCAUCGAGUUCAAUAAGCUAGGUCUUCUGGAUAAUGUUGCUCAGAUAUGUGUGCUGGAGUUUAUUUGUUAAACAGUCGUUGCGUCAAACUUCCAAGGAAAAUAAUGCAGCUCUACCAACAAAGAUAUAUUCCCCAAGAUUGGAUUCAGCUCCUCUUAGAUGGGUCAAUUUUGCUCAUGGAUUGCUACUUUUACCAUGCCAGGUAACUCAUGCAAGACUAAAUAAUGAAGGUUUGAUGUUGGACAAGGACCUCAGAAGUUCAAAGCUGGCGACAAAGUUGUAGCAUUUCACCAUGUGAGAAGAGCCUUUGCUUCAGAAUUGGAAUGAACAGAAGUAGUAGAAGAAAAUGCUAACAACUGAAGCUGCUCAAGGCACAAGGUUGUGUUAAUUAACUACUUGUUUCUAUGUACUUAUUAUGUCAAGAUAAUGCAUUGAUGACUUUGUAUGUACUUGAAUAAGAUAAUGCAUUGAUGACUUGUACAUCUGGAGUUGUUAAUAUGAAAGGAUUCAUAUAUAUUGAUUCUUUGCCUACA